AUUAUACUCAAACCUAUUUGAUAGUCUAAACUAAAUCAUAAGAAACUGAUCAAGAUGGACAUUGCUAAGAAAGAUGGAUCGGAUUUUAUGAAGGCCUAGUGAUUGAGAUUUUGUAUCCCAAAUGAACUUCGCCCUAAUAAUUGAUUUUAGCUUUAUCAGAUAGUGACAAAUCACUAUCUGAUAAAGCUCAUUACUAGGCUGCAACUUCAGUAAGAAUUUGAGUCAGUGUAAAAAGUCAAAAGAAAGUUGCAAAGAAAUCUAAACCAUUGCGAGAUUAAGAUUUAUGUUCGUUAUAUUUAUGCAUUCUCCUGAGUAAUUGGUGCACCACAAUUGAUUAGUAAUUUAACCCUUCUUCCCCGAACAGACUAAAACGAGAUGAGCAGAAGACUGACGAUUCUUCACAUUGAUUGACCCAUGAAAAUGCUACUGAUGAUGAUGAGAAUUUUUACUCGUCUUGCUGCUAUAAUUUUCUUUACCGUAUAACUCAAUAAACCCAAAGUUCACUAGGGGAAAAGAAAAAUAUAAACUAUGGAUAAUGCCAACUAGUUCUACAAUAUGACAGCCUGUUUUUAUGAUAAAGAUAAGAA